UGUCAUAGACCCGAAGCCGAGUGAUCUAUCCAUGGGCAGGGUGAAGCGAGGGAAAGACCUCGUGGAGGCCCGAACCCACCUAGGUUGAAAACUGGGGGGAUGACCUGUGGAUAGGGGUGAAAGGCCAAACAAACUCGGCGAUAGCUGGUUCUCCCCGAAAUAGCUUUAGGGCUAGCGUCCUGCGUUUAGCUCUGGGGGUAGAGCACUGAUUGGGUUAGGGGGCCUACAAGCUUACCGACCCCAGUCAAACUCCGAAUCCCAGAGUUCCAGAGCAAGGCAGUCAGUCUACGUGGGAUGAGCUUCGUGGACGCGAGGGAAACAGCCCAGACCGCCAGCUAAGGCCCCUAAGUCUGUACUAAGUGGGAAACGAUGUGGAGUUGCCCAAACAGCCAGGAUGUUGGCUUAGAAGCAGCCAUCAUUUAAAGAGUGCGUAAUAGCUCACUGGUCGAGUGACUCUGCGCGGAAAAUGUAACGGGGCUCAAGUACAGCGCCGAAGCUGCGGAAUUCAGUAUCUUCUGAUACUGGGUUGGUAGGGGAGCGUCGUGUGGCCAUUGAAGCGGCAGCGGAAGCUAGCUGUGGAGGCUACACGAGUGCGAAUGCCGGCAUGAGUAGCGAAUGGAGAGUGAGAAUCUCUUCCGCCGAUUGUCCAAGGUUUCCUGGGGAAGGCUCGUCCGCCCAGGGUAAGUCGGGACCUAAGGUGAGACCGCGAGGUGUAAUCGAUGGAUAACUGGUUCAUAUUCCAGUACCUCUCUAAGACCGUUCAGACCGAAUCACGUUUGCUAAGGAAAGCCCUUCGGGGCCUACCGACCCAGCGUGUAGUAGGUGAGCAAUGGAGUGACGUGGAAGGGUAAGCGAGCCCGGGCGUUGGUUGUCCCGGGGUAAGCCCGUAGGGCGAGAUCCAGGCAAAUCCGGAUCUCAUGAAGCCUGAGAAGUGAUACGGAGCCAUUUUGGCGAAGUCGCUGAACGCCCAUGCCACCGAGAAAACCUUCUAGCGAGGUCUUAGGGAGCCCGUACCCCAAACCGACACAGGUGGACAGGUAGAGAAUACCAAGGCGAGCGAGUUAACUCUGGUUAAGGAAUUCGGCAAAUUUGAUCCGUAACUUCGGGAGAAGGAUCGCCCCGGUAAGGUCAAGGACAUCACGUCCGGCAGCCUGAGGGGGCCGCAGUGACCAGACCCAAGCGACUGUUUACUAAAAACACAGCACGGUGCUAAGUCGCAAGACGAUGUAUACCGUGUGACGCCUGCCCGGUGCUGGAAGGUCAAGUGGAGAGGUUAGGCUUCGGCCAAAGCUUUGAAACUAAGCCCCAGUAAACGGCGGCCGUAACUAUAACGGUCCUAAGGUAGCGAAAUUCCUUGUCGGGUAAGACAAGGAUGCCUGACAGCAGA
rnacentral:rRNA from 1 species